ACAUCAGUACAGGUGGUGCAUGGCUGUCGUCAGCUCGUGUCGUGAGAUGUUGGGUUAAGUCCCGCAACAAGCGCAACCCUUGUCUUUAGUUGCCAUCAUUAAGUUGGGCACUCUAAAGAGACUGCCGGUGUCAAACCGGAGGAAGGUGGGGAUGACGUCAAGUCCUCAUGGCCUUUAUGACCAGGGCUACACACGUACUACAAUGGCAGGUACAAAGGGCAGCCACUUAGCGAUAAGGCGCGAAUCCCGUAAAACCUAGUCUCAGUCCGGAUUGGAGUCUGCAACUCGACUCCAUGAAGUUGGAAUCGCUAGUAAUCGCAGAUCAGCACGCUGCGGUGAAUACGUUCCCGGGCCUU
rnacentral:rRNA from 1 species